UGGGGAUUAAGCUCAGCGGUAGAGCACUUGCCUAGAGGCCCUGGGUUCGAUCCCCAGCCCCCCAA
rnacentral:tRNA from 1 species